UAGUUCAGUGAGAAGCCUGCCCUCUGCAGAGGCAGCAUUUCACUGUCCACACACAGAUCUUUCUUGCCAAACAAGAGGAUCAAAGUCGUGCCAUAAUGUUCCUGUGGAGCGUUUGGUCCCCUUUUCUCUUCCUAUCAGAUGUAGUAAGGGCAGGGGCAGGCCACCAGCUGCCACCAUCCCUGGAGAUCAUACUGAUUUCAGUGUGUAAGUUCCCGAGUUCACUCUGAGGAUGACACAGCAUUAGAAAGGACGGAGCCCAGACAAACACCAGCCCUGGCAAGAACCCUGACUUGUCUGCAUGGCACCUGUGCUGCUGGCUACUCUCAGGUCGCAGACUCCGUAAACAGGCUGGAACCAGGAGCCUUCUCUGCUUCUGCUUCUGCUUCUGCUUCUGCUUCCGCUUCCAGUGGAGGAAGGUGUCUUCGCAUCCCAGGCCCACAGCUCUGUUUACUAGCAGGUCUCUUGCCUAGUUCUUUGUGUAAUGUGGGGUCAAUAAACACAUCCCGCUAAUGCGUAA
rnacentral:lncRNA from 1 species